UAGCAAACUCCCGGGUUAAUUAAUCCUAAU
rnacentral:piRNA from 1 species